rnacentral:rRNA from 1 species
AGUGGAUGGGGAGCAACCUAGUUGUGCGUGUGUAAAGGUAGUGCCAAGAAAAGCGAUGAUCAUGUUGAAUAUCAAUUCCCGGUACCCGAAACCGACACAGGUGGGCAAGUAGAGAAUACUAAGGGGCGCGAGGUAACUCUCUCCAAGGAACUCGGCAAAAUGACCCCGUAACUUAGGGAGAAGGGGUGCCACCGAGAGGUGGUCGCAGUGAAGAGGCCCAGGCGACUGUUUAGCAAAAACAUAGGUCUCUGCAAACUCGAAAGAGGAGGUAUAGGGGCUGACGCCUGCCCAGUGCCGGAAGGUUAAAGAAGUUGGUCAGUUUUAGGAUGAAGCUAGCGACUGAAGCCCCGGUGAACGGCGGCCGUAACUAUAACGGUCCUAAGGUAGCGAAAUUCCUUGUCGGGUAAGUUCCGACCCGCACGAAAGGCGUAACGAUCUGGGCGCUGUCUCGGAGAGAGGCUCGGCGAAAUAGGAUUGUCUGUGAAGAUACGGACUACCUGCAUUUGGACAGAAAGACCCUAUGAAGCUUUACUAUAGCUUGGAAUUGUGUUCGGGCUUCCUGUGCGCAGGAUAGGUGGGAGGCGUAGAAGGUAUUCUUGUGGGGAUACUGGAGCCAACGGUGAGAUACCACUCUCAGGAGGCUAGAAUUCUAACUUAAUUAAGGACAGUUUCAGGUGGGUAGUUUGACUGGGGCGGUCGCCUCCAAAAAGGUAACGGAGGCGUACAAAGGUUCCCUCAGACUGGUUGGAAAUCAGUCGAAGAGUGCAAAGGCAGAAGGGAGCUUGACUGCGAGAAGUACAGUUCGAGCAGGGUGGAAACACGGUCUUAGUGAUCCGACGGUGCUGUGUGGAAGGGCCGUCGCUCAACGGAUAAAAGUUACUCUAGGAUAACAGGCUGAUCUCCCCCAAGAGUUCACAUCGACGGGGAGGUUUGGCACCUCGAUGUCGGCUCAUCGCAACCUGGGGCGGAAGUACGUCCCAAGGGUUGGGCUGUUCGCCCAUUAAAGCGGUACGUGAGCUGGGUUCAGAACGUCGUGAGACAGUUCGGUCCAUAUCCGAUGUAGGCGUGAGAAUAUUGAGAGGAGCCUUCCUUAGUACGAGAGGACCGGGAAGGACGCACCGCUGGUGUACCUGUUAUGAUGCCAAUUGUAAACGCAGGGUAGCCAAGUGCGGAGAGGAUAACCGCUGAAAGCAUCUAAGUGGGAAGCCCACCUCAAGAUGAGUAUUCUGGUGUAAGGUCACGGGAAGACGACCCGUAAAUAGGCACGAGGUGGAAGUGCAGAGAUGUAUGAAGCCGAAGUGUACUAAUAGACCGUCGGCUUGACC